AGUGCUAGAGGGCGACAGGGGUAGAGGGAAUUCCCAGUGUAGCGGUGAAAUGCGUAGAGAUUGGGAAGAACACCGGUGGCGAAAGCGCUCUACUGGGUCGCACCUGACCCUCAGGGACGAAAGCUAAGGUAGCGAAAGGGAUUAGAUACCCCUGUAGUCUUAGCCGUAAACGAUGGAUACUAGGCGUGGUUUGUAUCGACCCAAGCCGUGCCGAAGCUAACGCGUUAAGUAUCCCGCCUGGGGAGUACGCACGCAAGUGUGAAACUCAAAGGAAUUGACGGGGGCCCGCACAAGCGGUGGAGGAUGUGGUUUAAUUCGAUGCAACGCGAAGAACCUUACCAGGGCUUGACAUCCCGCGAAUCUUGCUGAAAGGUGAGAGUGCCUUCGGGAGCGCGGAGACAGGUGGUGCAUGGCUGUCGUCAGCUCGUGUCGUGAGAUGUUGGGUUAAGUCCCGCAACGAGCGCAACCCUCGUCCUUAGUUGCCAGCAUUAAGUUGGGCACUCUAGGGAGACUGCCGGUGACAAACCGGAGGAAGGUGAGGAUGACGUCAAGUCAGCAUGCCCCUUAUGCUCUGGGCGACACACGUCCUACAAUGGUCGGGACAAAGGGGAGCAAGCUCGCGAGAGUAAGCGAAUCCCAGCAAACUCGGCCUCAGUUCAGAUUGCAGGCUGCAACUCGCCUGCAUGAAGGAGGAAUCGCUAGUAAUCGCAGGUCAGCAUACUGCGGUGAAUUCGUUCCCGGGCCUUGUACACACCGCCCGUCACACCAUGGAAGCUGGCCAAGCCCGAAGUCGUUACCCUAACCGUUUGGAGGGGGGCGCCGAAGGCUGGGCUAGUGACUGGGGUGAAGUCGUAACAAGGUAACC
rnacentral:rRNA from 1 species